AUGCUUUCCUUCAUUUUUUUUUUCCACGCCCCUCAUCAAGAAGCCCGUAUUAAAAUGAAUUAUCAGGUCAGCACUAAUAAGAAGGUGCAACAUGAAAGUCAGCUCUCUGCCAAGAAGGACGACAAACUCUUCUUUAACGAUGAGGACAAAGAAAUACUUUAUCAGAUUAAAAGCCUAGCAGCUCUGGAAAGAAUCAUUGAAAGUCUCCGGAAAUCUUUAGGUAAAGGGAACCAGGGGCCCACCAUGGCGAUAGAUGAGUGUGGGGGAUCGGUCCUUGAGCUGGGGCUGUCCCCCUGGUGAGACGGGAGGUACCGCACCCACUGCAGGGACCAGCGUGAGCCGUGAGCAGCUCUGGACAAGCAGGUGACUCUAUCCUGAGGGGACCCUGUGAGCCCCACUCACGAGUCCACAGUCCAGGAGUCACGGGGCCACCAGCAGGCUCCCCGCACUUCUUGGCUGAACUGAACAAGGCCGAGCCGCUUUUCCAGGAGUGAUGGGGAGGAGGGCUUCACACACCCCCGUGUCGCCGUGACCAGGCCCAGGGAGGUCCCCCCGCCCCCCCCCGCCCCCCCCCCCCGCCCGGGCAGACACGCCCCUCUCCGCAGGCGCCUCCCCAUGGGGGCCGGCCUCCGGCCCCUCCUGGGCCACAGUGUACUCACUGCUGAAGUCGCCCACGCCGUCCCCCUCCGCUUCUGCCUCCGGCCCCACGCUUGUCCCUGAACUCUCGAGAACACCUCCGAGCCUCUCCUAGGCUGGCCUCGCGGCCUCCUUUCCUCUCUGAGUCAGACCUGGCCGCCAGGCUGAAGGUUCCAAGCAACUUCUGCAGCAUCACACACGCCGUGCACCCGCCCGGAUUCAACCUUAUCUCACGUGGACCGAGCACGUGCCCGCGCCAGGCGCUGGGCUCAGAUCCCGGGAUUUAUCUGACCCCUACCCCGCCCCCCCCCCGCGCCCCCCCCCCCCCCGAACGGCUUUCCGAUGGCUCAGUGGUAAGAAUCAGCCUGCAAAGCAGGAGACGCAGGAGACGUGGGUUCGAUCCGAGUCAGAAAGAUCCCCUGGAAGGGGGCAUGGCCACCCACUCCAGUAUUCUUGCCUGGGAAAUGUCAUGAACAGAGGAGCCCGGUGGGCUACAGUCCAUAGGGCUACAAAGAGUCCCACAUGCCCGAAGCCACCGAGCUCAC
rnacentral:lncRNA from 1 species